rnacentral:lncRNA from 1 species
UUACCUUAUCAUCUAUGAACUUGGACCAGAAACGAGCCAAGGCUCUUUUGUAAGGAUCAGAAGGCAAAAUUGGAUUUUGUUUCCAUGUCUCAUCAAUAUAUUCAAGGAUCACAAGUGACUCAGAUAUUGGUUUGUCAUUAUGAACUAAUACAGGAACUUUCUUAUAAACUGGAUUAUAUUUGAUUAGUGCAUCACUAAACUCUCCCUUCUUUUCUUCCACAAAUUUGUAUUGAACUCCCUUCAAAUUUAGAGCUAUCUCCACCCUUACAACAAAUGGACUUCCCACUAUUCCAAAAAGCUUCACCUCUUCUUCCUGAUUUGAUGCCAUCUUAAUUAGAGUUUCAAAUACUAGUAUAUCUUUACUCAAAUAACUGUGUUUGGCUUAUUGAUUCACUCCUAAGUCCUAAUAUCUACUUAUAUGGAGCUAGAUUCUUCUUUUUUGGGGGUUAAAGCCAGGAUUUUCUUUUGGUACUUUAAUGUCAAAAUAAUGACGUAAGAGAUUACGUAGUAGAGAAUUUCGAAAUUUCCACAACUAGGAAAACCGACAGAGGAAAACGAUUACACAUUACACUCUGUCCUAGAAUUCAUUACUAAAAUUUUGAUGUCCUAUUCAUAUGACCUUUUUCAAAAUUUAAGAUACAAUAAUUAAAUUUUUAUAAAAAUAUUCUUUAUUAGGAGUAUUGGAUAAGGGAGUAGUUUAUAGAUUAAGACUACACAUUGCAAUAAAACUCAUAUCCACGAAUACUUGCCUAAAUGUUACCCAUUUUGACGGAGAAAAUCUGAGUUGAUUGGGUUUGGAUUUUGGAUUUUCCCUGAUUUUAAAAGACGAGGUUGGAGCAGGUAAUAGGGAUAUUUUUUUUUUGUUACAAAGCUAAUCAAAACAAAACAAAAAACAAAAAGAAAAAAAGAAAUGGGAACUAUUCUCUAAGGUAGAAAGUUCCAGUCGCGUCGCUUCGAAGAAUUAUAUUAAAAUUAUAUUUUACCUAUUUUAAAUUAGAAACUCUUAGAGAAUAUUUUAAAUUACAUUCAUAUGCUUUUUUUUAAUAUUUAAUUUGUGUAAAAAAUAAACCUUUUACUAUUUAUUUUCUUUAUUUAAGAAAAUAUUGUUGAAACAAAAUAAUUUUGGGUUUUUAAUUUUUUUUAAUAAAAAAAUACUAAAAUACAAUCAAAACUCAUGUCAAAAAAGGCGUAACGGUGAUAUUCGAAUCCCGUCGGCUAUAUCCGAUCCCCAUUGAGUAUGGAUUUGGGGUUGUAUUUUUUAUUAUAACUUAAUUGAGAUGAUUGUGAGGAAACCGAAACUUUAUGAGUUUGAGUUUUGGGAGGACCAAAUCCACCCCUGCCCUGAUGUCAUGCCUGAUUAAGAUUGACUCAAAAUUAAAGAACUAUUGGCCGCAUUGUAUUUCAAAGAUUGAAGCUACCGAUUCACUACAAGAAAUAUUGCUAUUUGAUUGAGAUAUUUGACAAGGGCGAGAAAAUAAAAGAGAGAAACUUGNNNNNNNNNNNNNNNNNNNNNNNNNNNNNNNNNNNNNNNNNNNNNNNNNNNNNNNNNNNNNNNNNNNNNNNNNNNNNNAGGGACCUAUUCAGACCUUUUUUUCUUUAAGGGACCUAUUUAGACCUUUUUUUCUUUAAGGGACCAAUAUGAAACCAAAAAUAUCUUUAAGGGACCAUUUUAUUAAUUAAGCCCAAUCUUAUAUAAUAAGCAUGUGCAUACUCAUAAUAAAAUAACCACUCCAACUACACAAUAAAUUAAACUACUUAGUAAGUACUAAUAAAAAUAUACUUAAAAUACUCUUUUAGUUUAAAACAUUAUUUUCUUAUCUUAAUAAUCCUGUAUAUCCCCUAAACAUAAUCUAUUUUGAAGCAACAAGACUUUCAUGAAGAGCUUUGAACUUGGUCACUUGUGUUUCUCUAUUAGGUAGCUUUUCUUUGACAACUUGGUGAUUAAUGAAGUCUUGGCUCCAUUGGUAAAGCUUUGGAAAUUUCUCACUAGUGAGCAACUUCAAUCCUAUUACUUCUUCUAUAAUAGGGACCCAAGAAGCUAUGAAUGCAGCUGUAAUGUCUACAAGGCCAAUCUCUUCUCCACCAAAAAAUUUGUCCUUAAGUUCAUUCUCAAGAAUUUGAAAAGAAGCUUGCAUUUCCUCGAUAUAUUUUUCACGCUCUUUCUCANNNNNNNNNNNNNNNNNNNNNNNNNNNNNNNNNNNNNNNNNNNNNNNNNNNUUAAUCAGUUUGGUCCCUAAAAAGAGGUCUAAAUAGGACCAAACUGAUUAACAGAUAUGUCUUUAAGGGACCUAUUCGGACUUUUUUUUCUUUAAGGGACCUAUUUGGACCUUUUUUUCUUUAAGGGACCAAUAUGAAACCAAAAAUGUCUUUAAGGGACCAUUUUACUAAUUAAGCCUUUUUAUAUCAAGUAAGUCUAUACUCACUCCGUCCCAAAAUAUAAGCAAAAGUUAGUCAACAAAAGGGAAUAUAUUUGGUCCAAAUUAUGAACCAAAUACGUCAAAUUUGUUUAACUAAUUUUUACUUAUAUUUUAGGACGGAGAGAGUAUAUUUUUGCAAAACAGGCUUAUAAAAUGGGUACGUCACUCGUUAUAAACUCUUUUAAUUAGGUUCUGUCUUUUUUUUAUUGGUAUUCAAUUAGGUUUUGUCUUUAGUUUAAAUAAAAAUUGAUUUUUCUCAUUAAAUCCUGUCACGGAGAACACCAUACAAUUUGGUGUGUGGAUAUAAAUAGUAAAUGACUCGGAAUCUAGGAAGCACCGACACUCUUCGGAUUAGGCGUGUUUGUGUCAGACACGUGUCGGUUUCCGUGUCUGACACCGACACUUAUGAUUACACUAAAUUAUGUCAUUUUUCUAAAUUUUUAUCGGUGUCGACGUGUUAGUGUCCGUGUCGUGUCCGGUGUCCGUAUCUGUGUCCGUGCUUCAUAGCUCGGAAUGCGUUAGAUCCAAUAUAAGGAUCUAACAUGAUAUCAUUGUUUAUCGAUCAAACAAUAACCAUCAUCAUUUUUAUUGACCCGUCAAGUUCAAUAGUAUUGGAACUUAAGUUUCAUAUAGAUUGCAAGUAGCACCAGACAAGAGUUUCUAAAGAAUUGCAUAUUUCAUCUUAUAAGGCUUUGUUUGGUAAAAAAAUAGGGGAUAUCCGGUAAGUUAUUUUAUAGCGGGUGAACUUAUAGUGAAUAACUUAUGAACUAGUUUUUAGCUUAUUGCGAAUAAACUGGUUGAUUGAAUUUAUAGUGAUUAGUAAAAUUAGUGGUUGAACUAGCUUAUGAGUAUGAAAUGACAUAAAAAAAUGUAAAAUUAAUACUUAAAUUUUUUUAAUUAAGAUGAAAGGGGUAAAAUUGGAAGAAAAAUGAUAAGUUCAUAAGCUACUUGAAAUAACAUUUUAAAAAUAAGUUAUAAGCUAGUAAAAUAAGCUAUAAACUCUAUUUGAAAAACUAUUACUAAACAAGUCUUUUUUUAGUCAAACGAAAUUAUAAGUUAAUUUAUGUGUCUUCUCAAAAGGAACCCAAAUCAGUUUAGUAAAAAUGAGUAACAAAAAGAAAAAUAGAAGAAGGGAGUAAUUACCUCAUCUAUGUACUUCGCCCAAAAACGAGCCAAAGCUCUUUUGUAAGGAUCAGAAGGCAAGAUUGAAUUUGGUGUCCAAGUCUCAUCAAUAUACUCAAGAAUCACUAGUGACUCAGAUAUGGGUUUGUCAUUAUGAACUAAUACAGGAACUUUCUUAUAAACAGGGUUAUAUUUGAUUAGUGUAUCACUAAAAUCCUUCC